ACCCAGCUGAUGAAUCCUAGAUAGGACGAAAUGCGCAUCGUGGAU
rnacentral:hammerhead_ribozyme from 1 species